ACGAGUUAGGGUCUCUCCAGGCCCGACCUCCCAACCCUUUGUUUACCUUGCUGCAUGUUGCUUUGGCGGACCCGUCUCACGACCGCCCUGGGACCGCUGAGAGGCGUCCCUAGGCCCGUGUCCGCCGAUAGCCAACCUAAACUCUUGGAUGAAUCGUGUUUUUAUGUCUGAGUCUUAUGAUUAAAUCAAAAGCAA
rnacentral:misc_RNA from 1 species